GGUAUUGUGGCUCAGUGGUAGAGCACUCGUCUAGCACAUGUGAGGCCCUGGGUUCAAUCCUCAGCACCA
rnacentral:tRNA from 1 species